rnacentral:rRNA from 1 species
AAAUUGAAGAGUUUGAUCAUGGCUCAGAUUGAACGCUGGCGGCAGGCCUAACACAUGCAAGUCGAACGGUAACAGGAAACAGCUUGCUGUUUCGCUGACGAGUGGCGGACGGGUGAGUAAUGUCUGGGAAACUGCCUGAUGGAGGGGGAUAACUACUGGAAACGGUAGCUAAUACCGCAUAACGUCGCAAGACCAAAGAGGGGGACCUUCGGGCCUCUUGCCAUCGGAUGUGCCCAGAUGGGAUUAGCUUGUAGGUGGGGUAACGGCUCACCUAGGCGACGAUCCCUAGCUGGUCUGAGAGGAUGACCAGCCACACUGGAACUGAGACACGGUCCAGACUCCUACGGGAGGCAGCAGUGGGGAAUAUUGCACAAUGGGCGCAAGCCUGAUGCAGCCAUGCCGCGUGUAUGAAGAAGGCCUUCGGGUUGUAAAGUACUUUCAGCGGGGAGGAAGGGAGUAAAGUUAAUACCUUUGCUCAUUGACGUUACCCGCAGAAGAAGCACCGGCUAACUCCGUGCCAGCAGCCGCGGUAAUACGGAGGGUGCAAGCGUUAAUCGGAAUUACUGGGCGUAAAGCGCACGCAGGCGGUUUGUUAAGUCAGAUGUGAAAUCCCCGGGCUCAACCUGGGAACUGCAUCUGAUACUGGCAAGCUUGAGUCUCGUAGAGGGGGGUAGAAUUCCAGGUGUAGCGGUGAAAUGCGUAGAGAUCUGGAGGAAUACCGGUGGCGAAGGCGGCCCCCUGGACGAAGACUGACGCUCAGGUGCGAAAGCGUGGGGAGCAAACAGGAUUAGAUACCCUGGUAGUCCACGCCGUAAACGAUGUCGACUUGGAGGUUGUGCCCUUGAGGCGUGGCUUCCGGAGCUAACGCGUUAAGUCGACCGCCUGGGGAGUACGGCCGCAAGGUUAAAACUCAAAUGAAUUGACGGGGGCCCGCACAAGCGGUGGAGCAUGUGGUUUAAUUCGAUGCAACGCGAAGAACCUUACCUGGUCUUGACAUCCACGGAAGUUUUCAGAGAUGAGAAUGUGCCUUCGGGAACCGUGAGACAGGUGCUGCAUGGCUGUCGUCAGCUCGUGUUGUGAAAUGUUGGGUUAAGUCCCGCAACGAGCGCAACCCUUAUCCUUUGUUGCCAGCGGUCCGGCCGGGAACUCAAAGGAGACUGCCAGUGAUAAACUGGAGGAAGGUGGGGAUGACGUCAAGUCAUCAUGGCCCUUACGACCAGGGCUACACACGUGCUACAAUGGCGCAUACAAAGAGAAGCGACCUCGCGAGAGCAAGCGGACCUCAUAAAGUGCGUCGUAGUCCGGAUUGGAGUCUGCAACUCGACUCCAUGAAGUCGGAAUCGCUAGUAAUCGUGGAUCAGAAUGCCACGGUGAAUACGUUCCCGGGCCUUGUACACACCGCCCGUCACACCAUGGGAGUGGGUUGCAAAAGAAGUAGGUAGCUUAACCUUCGGGAGGGCGCUUACCACUUUGUGAUUCAUGACUGGGGUGAAGUCGUAACAAGGUAACCGUAGGGGAACCUGCGGUUGGAUCACCUCCUUACCUUAAAGAA